AUUGAACGCUAGCGGGAUGCUUUACACAUGCAAGUCGAACGAGUGGGGGAAGGGUGAGUAAUAUAUCGGAACGUGCCCAGUAGCGGGGGAUAACUACUCGAAAGAAUGGCUAAUACCGAAUAAUAUUGGAGCGGCCGAUAUCGGAUUAGCUAGUUGGUGGGGUAAAGGCUCACAAGGGCAACGAUCCGUAGCUGGUUGGAGAGGACGACCAGCCACAAUGGGACGUAGACACGGCCCAGACUCCUACGGGAGUCAGCAGUGGGGAAUUUUGGACAAUGGGUGAAACCCUGAUCCAGCCAUCCCGCGUGUAUGAGAAGGCCUUCGGGUUGUAAAGUACUUUUGGCAGAGAAGCGGUAUCUGCAGAAUAAGCACCGGCUAACUACGUGCCAGCCGCCGCGGUAAUUC
rnacentral:rRNA from 1 species